CCUACGGGCGGCAGCAGUGAGGAAUAUUGGUCAAUGGACGAAAGUCUGAACCAGCCAAGUAGCGUGAAGGAUGAAUGCCCUAUGGGUUGUAAACUUCUUUUAUAUGGGAAUAAAAUGUUCCACGUGUGGGAUUUUGUAUGUACCCUGUGAAUAAGGAUCGGCUAACUCCGUGCCAGCAGCCGCGGUAAUACGGGGGUUCCGGGCGUUAUCCGGAUUUAUUGGGUUUAAAGGGGGCGUCGGUGGAUUUUUAAGUCAGUUGUGAAAGUUUGCGGCUCAACCCUAAAAUUGCAGUUGAAACUGGAAGCCUUGAGUACAGUAGAGGUGGGCGGAAUUCGUGGUGUAGCGGUGAAAUGCUUAGAUAUCACGCAGAACUCCGAUUGCGAAGGCAGCUCACUGGACUGCAACUGACACUGAGGCACGAAAGUGUGGGUAUCAAACAGGAUUAGAUACCCUAGUAGUC
rnacentral:rRNA from 1 species